UGCCAGCCGCCGCGGUAAUACGGAGGAUCCAAGCGUUAUCCGGAUUCAUUGGGUUUAAAGGGUCCGUAGGCGGAUUUUUAAGUCAGUGGUGAAAGCCGACAGCUCAACUGUCGAACUGCCAUUGAUACUGGAAAUCUUGAGUACAAAUGAAGUAGGCGGAAUGAGUCAUGUAGCGGUGAAAUGCAUAGAUAUGACUCAGAACACCGAUUGCGAAGGCAGCUUACUAAGUCAUCAUUGACGCUGAGGGACGAAAGCGUGGGGAGCGAACAGGAUUAGAUA
rnacentral:rRNA from 1 species